UGUGAACUCAAGGCUAGCCUGGUCUACUUAGAGAGUUCUACCCUGUCUUAAAAAAAAAAAAAAAAAAAAAAGGCACAAUGCAGAAUGAAGCUGCCGCCUGCCUUAAUUCAGGCCUUGAAGUACAUCUUGUCCCUGUGAGACUGGAGCUGGGUGCCUGCUGUUGCUUCUGUACAGUGUUCUCUUCGGAGCCAUAUGGUCCCCAUCUCUGCUCUCUGCCUGAGUCCACACAGGCCUGCAUAGAGGUGUGACAGCUGUCUGUCCACGGUCCAUUUCCCUUCCUCUUUCUCUAGCUGGUCCUCAAGUUUGAUGAAACUGAUCUGAGCCAUCGGAUUAAAACUUCUUAAAGAUGUCAUCUUCCACUGACCUCUUGGCCCCUAUGGUUUUGGGUGAGAAAUUAACUGUUAAUUCUUCCUGAGAUUCCCUCAAUAAAAUGAGUCAAAUCAACCA